rnacentral:lncRNA from 1 species
CCGAAAAGUCGUGGUAUUGAGCGAUAUUUUGUGUGACAGCGGCGCUUUUCAGCACGGCAAUACGGUGUGGACUGCUGCAGACGUCGACAGCAAGUGUCCGUUCUUAGCAGCUUCCCGGAAGCAUCCCUGUCCACUGUAGGAAAAGUGAAAAGGUGGCUCAUUGGCGCGAGCGACGGAGACGGCGGUCGUAACAGGAGGCGACAGAAACGGAAGACGACAUCAAUGUAGAGUCACCUUGACACCACGCAUGGCACCUCGACCGAAAGACAUUUGUUUUGACUAAUGUUAAAAAAUUAAUUGUGAUCUCUAAAAUUA